AGAACGAACGCUGGCGGCAUGCCUAAUACAUGCAGGUCGAACGAACUCUUCGGAGUUAGUGGCGCACGGGUGCGUAACGCGUGGGAAUCUGCCCCUUGGUUCGGAAUAACAGUUGGAAACGACUGCUAAUACCGGAUGAUGACGAAAGUCCAAAGAUUUAUCGCCAAGGGAUGAGCCCGCGUAGGAUUAGCUAGUUGGUGAGGUAAAGGCUCACCAAGGCAACGAUCCUUAGCUGGUCUGAGAGGAUGAUCAGCCACACUGGGACUGAGACACGGCCCAGACUCCUACGGGAGCAGCAGUAGGGAAUAUUGG
rnacentral:rRNA from 1 species